CCCUUAGAUGUUCUGGGCGGCCCGCGCACUACACUGACACUCUCAAUCAGAGCCUGGAUCUAACACUUUGGGGUAUUCUAUGAAGUGGUGUCGUGACUGGGAUUAACCCUUGCAAUUAUUGGUUACGAACGAGGAAUUCCUUGUAAUCGCGGUUUAUCAGCCCGCGUUGAAUGCGUCCCUGCCCUUUGUACACACCGCCCGUCGCUCCUACCGAUGGAUCGUCCGGUGAAGCUCAUGGAGGGGCGGUUGUCUCAGCUGCCGUCGAAGUGAAAUGGACCUCACGAUCUAGAGGAAGGAGAAGUCGUAACA
rnacentral:rRNA from 1 species